rnacentral:piRNA from 1 species
AACACAGAAAUGAUGUGGAAUCGG